CAUAUUUUUUUAAUUGAGAAUCAAAUACAAUAAAAACAAAAUAGUGUCAAUACCACAAAUCUGAGUUUAUUUGUGAGAUUGUGUGUAUGUUUUAGCGCUGAUUUCAUAUUUGUUUUUUUCAUGUUAUGCGUAUCAGCGUUUAUUAUUAGGGGUAAUUGGCUAACUCGAGUCGUCGUGAAAAUUGAAGUAUAUGAAAAUUCUUUGAACUGUUUGAAGUAAUGGAUGAUGUGGCAGCAUAGGAGAAGAGAAAAACUUUCUUUAUAUUAAUAGAUAUGUGUGUGUAUGAGCUGAAAACAGUGGGCAGUAUCAAAUCAAGUACCUCGUGCUUAUCUUCCUUACUACUAUUUCGACGAAAUUCUCACUCGCGGAUUCGUGGGUACGAGAGUAACGGCCAAGUCGUGGAGAAGAAGACCAACACGAUGGGUUGUGUCCUGGUACCGGCAAUCUCACCAUGAAGCUUCGAGAAGCUGCCCACCACGUCGUCGCCGUGGAGUUAGAUAAGCGUAUGGUUGAAAUUCUCCGCACAAGGGUAUCUGACCAUGGUUUUCAAUGAGGAAUACAAAGGACGAUAGAUUGCAGGCAUAAUCGAAUGGAGAAAAGCAAAUUUUCUAACCAUCCGGUCAAGCCACUGAACGGAAAGGCUAAAAACUUGCCGAAGCAGUUACACUAUGGAACGAGCAACAAUAUUAUUAUAUAUCUCACAUCACAUUUAUCUUGUCUAAUCAUAGUAAUCAAUCAUCACAAUAUGACAAGCCGAGAGCAUAAAUAAGUAAAUAAAAAACGAUUACUGCGUAUAGGAGCUUAAUUAAAACUAUUUUCUCUUUUCACUCUGAUGGAUAGCAAGACAGGAAGAGAAAAGGUCACAAAGGUUACAAACGUUACACACGUAACUAGUGAAGGCACAAUAAUUUUGACAAGUAGGAAUUUAGACACAAGU